rnacentral:rRNA from 1 species
UAGAGUUUGAUCAUGGCUCAGGAUGAACGCUAGCGGGAGGCCUAACACAUGCAAGCCGAGCGGUAGAGUCUCUUCGGAGACUUGAGAGCGGCGCACGGGUGCGGAACACGUGUGCAACCUGCCUUUAUCUGGGGGAUAGCCUUUCGAAAGGAAGAUUAAUACCCCAUAAUAUAUUUCAAGGCAUCUUGAGAUAUUGAAAACUCCGGUGGAUAAAGAUGGGCACGCGCAAGAUUAGAUAGUUGGUGGGGUAACGGCCUACCAAGUCAAUGAUCUUUAGGGGGCCUGAGAGGGUGAUCCCCCACACUGGUACUGAGACACGGACCAGACUCCUACGGGAGGCAGCAGUGAGGAAUAUUGGACAAUGGGUGAGAGCCUGAUCCAGCCAUCCCGCGUGAAGGACGACGGCCCUAUGGGUUGUAAACUUCUUUUGUACAGGGAUAAACCUUUCCACGUGUGGAAAGCUGAAGGUACUGUACGAAUAAGCACCGGCUAACUCCGUGCCAGCAGCCGCGGUAAUACGGAGGGUGCAAGCGUUAUCCGGAUUUAUUGGGUUUAAAGGGUCCGUAGGCGGAUCAGUAAGUCAGUGGUGAAAUCUCAUAGCUCAACUAUGAAACUGCCAUUGAUACUGCUGGUCUUGAGUAAGGUAGAAGUAGCUGGAAUAAGUAGUGUAGCGGUGAAAUGCAUAGAUAUUACUUAGAACACCAAUUGCGAAGGCAGGUUACUAUGUCUUAACUGACGCUGAUGGACGAAAGC